rnacentral:tRNA from 1 species
GUCCUCGUAGUAAAACGGAUAUUACAAGACCCUCCUAAGGUUUAGUUCUAGGUUCGAUUCCUAGCGGGGACGCCA